ensembl:lncRNA
AGACACUUUGCUCUCGUCUAGUUUGGCAACUCUCAGGCAAACGAUUCAGCGAGUCCUAGCGAAUCGAGUCUGUACAGUGUCUUUAUGCUAAUAAGGCUAAGUAGGCUGUUACUACACACUUGCUGAGCUGGUGCGAACAUGGAGCACGCAAGACUCCUUCUCCUUCUGAUCAUGGGAAACUUCCUCGCAAGUACCGAUCAUAAUUUUAGACUGCUCUGUGGAGAAUAACACCACCUGUGACUGCGUUCACAAUGCCACAUUGGACACUGCUGAAUAUUAUGAGAAGUACAGAGACUGCGAUUGGAGUUUGAGGAACAAGGAGGAUAUAGUUCUUCAACUACUAACUCCAGUCCCACAUGUAACUGUCCCAUGCAGCUGGCAUGAAGUUUACUUGAAGUUGAACUGCGACAGCCCAAAGCAUGAAGUGAUUCUGCAUUGGUACAAGUUUGAAAGCAAAACUGAACACAUCAGUUCUGGAGAAAGUCUAGGAGAAUUCUCAUCUGGCUACCCCCACCCUCCAGAGCACUAACUUCCGAACACUGGACACGUGGGUGAUGGUAAUGUUGGGGAAAGUUCUUGGUGAUUUGGCUUGUGGCUGUUUUAUCACUCAUUAUGUGGUGAAAGAGGAACCAGCUUUGAAAACAUAUGUGUACAGACAGGCUCAGGAUAAAAGAGAUCCCCGGUGGAGAUAUGGGAAGUCAAGCAAGGCUUGACUCUAAAACACUGCAGAAAAUGCUGUCUGGCUCAUUUGGAUGACUCAGUUGCAUAGGCUGGGCAUUAUGCUUGAGUGCCAUACUGUGAAGUAAUGGGCUUGUGAUCUUUUUAUACAGCUGUUCUCUAAGCUGCAGCAUGAGGUCCACCUGUGUUUUAAAAUAAAUUCAACUGUCAUUUAAGUUUCACCUAUCACUAUAUCUGGUUCACUGCAUUGGUAUAAGAGUUUGGUCAAUGCAUCUUUCCUCCUUCAUUAUGUUUUAUUUCCCAGCCUUGUUUCUGCUAAUAAUAUAAAAUGGGUGUAAAUUCCACUGAUUCAAGAUCCUCUGAUAUUUUGGCAUAUCAGAAUGUGGUUGAGUAAUUAAUUACAGAGAAUUACAGUGCCAAAAUGGAUUUCUGGUAUUUUGGGAAUUUCCCUCAGCCAGCAUUGAGCAAUCUGUACUUUAAUGACUAUAACCAGAAUACAAUAACAACUAACAGUUCAGACUGUCUGAUGUCAGGGGCCUUAAAAGUCUCUCAUAUACUGUGGUUGUGAGUGUGUGUGAGAUUGGAUGCAGGUGUGUGUGAUUAGAAUGAGUGUUCUGUGUGUGUGUGUGUGUGUGUGUGUGUGUGUGUGUGUGUGUGUGUAUGUGUGUGAGUGUUCUGGGAAUUGCAGUCCAUGGCAGCCAUGUUUGUAGGCCGCCGUGCAGUAUGGGAAAUGUAGUCACUGGUUUGCUGUGAUAUGACUGAACCGUAACCCUCACCCCCCGCCCCCCCGCC